GGUUGUUGAACUCAACAGACUUGUUACAAGUUGUUCCAACAACUUGUUAUCGCCCUGCAAUUCAACAACUUGUCAACAAGUUGUGAGUGACAAGCUUGUAGCAACUUGAUAAAAUAACAGCAUUGUCACAACCUGUUGACAAGUUUGCUACAAGCCCGUUGCGAACACAUCUUGUUGACAAGUUGUGAGAUUUUUACGUGUGUAGUUUUUCAAGUAAUUGCAUCAAUAUGACAAUAUUCCCUAUCAAUCUGAAGCUUUCUUAUUAUUGUCACUGCCUACAUUGGUACAGACCGUUCAGGCUUUAAAAUAGACAUAUUUUCGCGCACUAUUCUGGUUUUAAUUAAACUAGGUUACACAGCCAGAAACGCCACAGACUUGCUGCAAGUUGCGGAUUUUACCGGCCUGCUGCAAGUUAACAAAUUGCAGCAGGCUUGUCGACGUCAUCAACUUGCAGCAAGCCUGUUGAAAUCAGGCUUGCUGCAAGUUGACAUUUGCAGACUUGAUGCAAGUUGAUGAAACAACUUGCAUGAAGUCUGCAAAUGUCAACUUGCAGCAAUACUGAUAGAACAACUUGCAGCAAGUCUGAUGAACGCAUCAAUGCUGAAUUGCUGAUGCAAGUUAAUCAGGCUUGCUGCAAGUAUUAUUUGCAGACUUGAUGCAAGUUGUUUCAUCAACUUGCAUCAAGUUUGUGGAUGACAACUUGCAUCAAGUCUGCACAACUUGCAGCAAGUCUGCUGUUCGCAACUUGUUGCACACGUAAAAAUGCACAAGUUGUAACAAACCUGCAGCAGACUUGUAUAUAUAGCAAUGCUGUUCCAACAACUUGUCAAUAGGAUGUGUUCGCACUGCUUGUUCCCAGCUUGGUGACAAGUUGUCAACGGCUUGUUUCCAACUUGCUACAAGGUUGUUGAGUUCCACAGACUUGUUACAGGUUGUUCCAACCACUUGUUAUCGUCCUGCAAUUCAACAAUUUGUCAACAAGUUGUGAGUGACAACCUUGUAGCAACUUGAUAAAAUAACAGCAUUGUUACAACUUGUUGACAAGUUUGCUACAAGUCUGUUGCGAAACACAUCUUGUUGACAAGUUGUGAGAUUUUUACGUGUGUAGUCUGUGGACGACAACUUGCAUGCAGCAAGUCUGUUGACAACUUGCAGUAGACUUGAUAUUAUCAAGCUGGAGCAAACGAUGCGAACGCAUCUCAUAUCGGCUUGAUGAUCGCAAGUUGCAGCAAAUCUGCAGCAGACCUGCUGCAACUUGCGCGUUUCUGGCUGUGUACCUUAAAGGUAGCGAUUGCUGCCUAUUUUGCACAAUAUCAAGUGUCGAGGUCAAGAAAGAUGGAGGCCAGAACACGAUCAGCAUGCAAAAAAUUUUAAUAUUUUUGUGUGUUUAACAGUACCUGUAAAUGAUAAUACAUAAACUAUUUAUAUUUUGGAUGCCACUUACAAUGACUAUCACCGAAUACGAAGCAAAAUUUUCAAUAUGGGAAAAGCGGUUUUUGGUCAGCAAUAGGUGGGUUUCACGAAGCCUUGUACAUGUUAUAGGGAAAUGCGUGAACUCUCUGGUUUUUUUGGAGUUGACUACCAAGCGCUAAGCGUUCAACGUGACUGAAAUCCAGCUAUUGUUGCUAUAAUAUAACGUGGAGCAUCUUCGCGCACUUUUUGCAGACAUAUUUUUGCAGGCAGUACAUAUAGGGAAUAAGGAUUAAUAAAUUUACGUGGUGUUUCCACAAACAAAACUAUUAUAUGUUUUAUUUUAUUUUUUUAUUUGUGUGCAGCUAGUUUUUAUUUUCUGAUUUCCUGCAAUUUGAUUGGCUACGCGAGC